AUGAACGCUGGCGGCGUGCCUAAUACCUGCCAGUCGAGCGAACAGAUGAGGAGCUUGCUCCUCUGACGUUAGCGGCGGACGGGUGAGUAACACGUGGAUAACCUAUCUAUAAGACUGGGAUAACUUCGGGAAACCGGAGCUAAUACCGGAUAAUAUAUUGAACCGCAUGGUUCAAUAGUGAAAGACGGUUUUGCUGUCACUUAUAGAUGGAUCCGCGCCGCAUUAGCUAGUUGGUAAGGUAACGGCUUACCAAGGCAACGAUGCGUAGCCGACCUGAGAGGGUGAUCGGCCACACUGGAACUGAGACACGGUCCAGACUCCUACGGGAGGCAGCAGUAGGGAAUCUUCCGCAAUGGGCGAAAGCCUGACGGAGCAACGCCGCGUGAGUGAUGAAGGUCUUCGGAUCGUAAAACUCUGUUAUUAGGGAAGAACAAAUGUGUAAGUAACUAUGCACGUCUUGACGGUACCUAAUCAGAAAGCCACGGCUAACUACGUG
rnacentral:rRNA from 1 species